rnacentral:rRNA from 1 species
GCGCCCGAAGCCAUUAGGCCGAGGGCACGUCUGCCUGGGCGUCACACGUCGUUGCCCCCCCCAACCCCUCGGGAGUUGGAUGGGACGGAUGAUGGCCUCCCGUGUGCUCAGUCACGCGGUUGGCAUAAAUACCAAGUCCUCGGCGACCAACGCCACGACAAUCGGUGGUUGUCAAACCUCGGUUUCCUGUCGUGCGCGCGUGUUGAUCGAGUGCUUUCUUAAACAAUGCGUGUCGAUCAGUCGAUGCUUACAACGCGACCCCAGGUCAGGCGGGGUUACCCGCUGAAUUUAAGCAUAUCAAUAAGCGGAGGAAAAAAU